rnacentral:misc_RNA from 1 species
GAAUUGCGAUAUGUAAUGUGAAUUGCAGAAUUCAGUGAAUCAUCGAAUCUUUGAACGCACAUUGCACCCUCUGGUAUUCCGGAGGGUAUGCCUGUUUGAGUGUCAUUAAUCUCUCAACACAGACAGGUUUUACCACCUGUUCUGUUGCUUGGGUGUUGAAGGCUUGCCGGUAGACUUAUUUACCAGCUCCUUUUAAAUGCAUUAGCAGAAACAAUGCACAACUGGCUUCAGUUUGAUAAAACACUUAUCUGUACUGACUGUCGCUAGUGAACACUAUGUUUCAGCUUCUAAUGGUCCACUAUGGACUGUCUCUCUGAGAGGCAUAGAAACCUGACACUUGACCUCAAAUCAGGUAGGACUACCCGCUGAACUUAA